AGGCGGCCGGCGCUCCGGGGAAACGCGCAGCCCGGCCAGGCUGGUGGGGACGAGGUCCCCGGGCGAGGGGCGUAAGCUGGGUGCGCCCCGGGGAGACCGGGCCACAGGUUCCCGGGCCGGGGCGGGCGCGCGGAACCGCAGUCGGCGGGGCGGGGGACGCCCUCCCCUUCCACGCCCAGCGAGCGCUGAAACUGUCCGGCCGAAGAGUCCUAGCUCUCCCAACCGCCUCGGCGCGGGCCCGCGCACCCCCCGCCCUGGCCCCCAGCACGCCCCGAGGGCGCCAGGAUAGGAGUGGAACGGGCUGAUUCAGGGGUUUGCUGUGGAGGCAUCGCGCGUGGGACAGCAGCCUGCGACUGGCGAGACCAAGGAAACUCGCUGCCGGGGUCCUGGCUGGACCUAGCGGAAACUUAGGUCUCCGGCAGCCAGGAACCUUGCCACCCUUGGCCCACCCCGGAAUUUGUAGAUGAACUACCCAGGAGCGAUGUAUGAGGCGACAGCGGCGUGCAGACCCGCUUUGGGACAGGUUAUAAACAUCUUCCUUUUCAAGAACGCUCAAGCCAGUCUAAGAUCUGAGGCACCGGUGAGGAGAUAACAACAGCCAAUUAUCCUACCUUGGUAUGCUGAGCAACUUAACCUUGAAGCAGAAUUAACUCUUAUCAGUGGUCUUAUUAGUGGCCUUAAAACACAGGGAUGGGGAUGCCCAAAGAUAAUUUAGUAAGUAUGAUUAAUUUUUCAAUGAUUCCAGAGCUCAAAGAGUUCUGUAAGUGAACCCUCUGCCCCAAAACUGAAGUAAGAUGGUUUUCAUGUAUCAGAAAAUUCUGCCUUAAUUUAACCUAAAUUCUUAAGGGCUUUUAAACCCAUUUUCCUCCCAAGUUCUGCAUGAAGUCACUCUCCUUCCUUGUAAUUAAAAUGUUUGCAGAAACUGUUGCCAUCUAGCCUUCUGUUCUUUAAACAUUUACUUUUCUCCCUUAUUUCCUAUUUUUAAGUCAGCUUUGCUGUUCUUCUGAACCCUUUCAUUAUCUUCAUGUCUUUCUUACUGAAAGUCAAACAUAUCAAAAGACUUCCCACAUUAAAUAAAUUUCUGUUUUAUCCUUAA